rnacentral:piRNA from 1 species
UCCAAGGAUCAGUUGAUCUCUGUGUGUGUC